CCUACGGGUGGCAGCAGUAGGGAAUUUUGCGCAAUGGGCGAAAGCCUGACGCAGCAACGCCGCGUGAUCGAGACGCCCUUCGGGGUGUAAAGAUCUGUCAGUGGGGACGAAAAUGACGGUACCUGAAGAAGAAGCCCCGGCUAACUACGUGCCAGCAGCCGCGGUAAUACGUAGGGGGCAAGCGUUAUCCGGAUUUACUGGGUGUAAAGGGGGCGCAGACGGCGAUGCAAGCCAGGAGUGAAAGCCCGGGGCCCAACCCCGGGACUGCUCUUGGAACUGCGUGGCUGGAGUGCAGGAGGGGCAGGCGGAAUUCCUGGUGUAGCGGUGAAAUGCGUAGAUAUCAGGAGGAACACCGGUGGCGAAGGCGGCCUGCUGGACUGCAACUGACGUUGAGGCCCGAAAGCGUGGGGAGCAAACAGGAUUAGAUACCCUAGUAGUC
rnacentral:rRNA from 1 species